GGGGACGUGGUGAAACGGCUAUCAUGGGAAUCUCCAAAAUUCUUGUUCCUGGUUCGAAUCCAGGCGUCCCCG
rnacentral:tRNA from 1 species